UUGAAUCCAGUUUGAAAUGAAGAGCUUAUGCUUUCUGUUCUUCAGAAUUACAAGCCUGAUAAAGUGCAAGUUUUUGAUCACGACACAUUCUCGGCUGACGACAUAAUGGGAGAAGCGAAAUUGAUAUCCACCCGUUGAUAACAUCUACAACGGUGUUUGGGGAUGCGGGGAUAUUAGAAGAUGUGUAGAUAGGAAAAUGGCUGAAUUCGGAGGAUAAUGCAUUUUUUAGAAGACAGCAUUGUGAACGUCAUUGAUGGGAAGGUGAUACAAGAGGUCACACUUGAACUCCAAAACGUUGAAUCUGGUGAAAUAGACCUGCGAAUUGAGUGGAUGCCACUUGAUCAGUAACAGGAAAUUCAUGUUUAAUAUUUUACUGUUAUUUCUUUUUUUGUUUAUUAAUUCAAUGCGUAAUAAAAUUCUUUGAUUGUAAUUAAUGAUAUGACCACCAUGUAUUGUAUUUAAACUUUUGAAUUUGUAUUCCUUCUCUUUUUUU
rnacentral:lncRNA from 1 species